UACGGAGGGUGCGAGCGUUGUCCGGAAUCACUGGGCGUAAAGGGCGCGUAGGCGGCCUGAUAAGUAGGGGGUGAAAUCUUGCGGCUUAACCGCAAGGCUGCCUUCUAAACUGUCAGGCUCGAGCACAGUAGAGGCAGGUGGAAUUCCUGGUGUAGCGGUGAAAUGCGCAGAUAUCAGGAGGAACACCGAUGGCGAAGGCAGGUCUCUGGGCAUUAACUGACGCUGAGGAGCGAAAGCAUGGGGAGCGAACAGG
rnacentral:rRNA from 1 species